GACGAACGCUGGCGGCGUGCCUAAUACAUGCAAGUUGAGCGAUGAAGAUUGGUGCUUGCACCAAUUUGAAGAGCAGCGAACGGGUGAGUAACGCGUGGGGAAUCUGCCUUUGAGCGGGGGACAACAUUUGGAAACGAAUGCUAAUACCGCAUAACAACUUUAAACAUAAGUUUUAAGUUUGAAAGAUGCAAUUGCAUCACUCAAAGAUGAUCCCGCGUUGUAUUAGCUAGUUGGUGAGGUAAAGGCUCACCAAGGCGAUGAUACAUAGCCGACCUGAGAGGGUGAUCGGCCACAUUGGGACUGAGACACGGCACAAACUCCUACGGGAGGCAGCAGUAGGGAAUCUUCGGCAAUGGACGAAAGUCUGACCGAGCAACGCCGCGUGAGUGAAGAAGGUUGUCGGAUCGUAAAACUCGGUUGGUAGAGAAGAACGUUGGUGAGAGUGGAAAGCUCAUCAAGUGACGGUAACUACCCAGAAAGGGACGGCUAACUACGUG
rnacentral:rRNA from 1 species